CUUAGAAUAAAAAAAUUUUAAUAAGUAUAAAAUUUUAAAAAGUUUUAAAUACGUAAUAAGAAACGUCUUUUUAUUAUUUUAUCAAAUUAUUAUUUAACAAUUUUUACUAAAAAAAUACGUUCCACCUCAAAAAGAAAAAAAAAAUAAGUAGUGCAAAUCGUAGUUAGCAUACGACCAAAUUUCUUUCUUUUAAGUAUGGUUUUUGAUUUAAUUAGGAGUCCUUAAUUUUCUUUUCUUUUAAGUUUCGUUUGUUUUGAUUUUCUAUAAUAAUUAGUUUUUUUAUGAAAAAAGUUUCUCAAAUUAGAUUAGAUUUCUUCCAUGUUUCAUCAACUCUUUCUUANNN
rnacentral:lncRNA from 1 species